rnacentral:rRNA from 1 species
UACGUAGGGACCGAGCGUUGUCCGGAUUCAUUGGGCGUAAAGAGCUCGUAGGCGGCUGCUCAAGUCGAAUGUGAAAACUCGAGGCUCAACCUCGAGCCUGCAUUCGAUACUGGGCGGCUAGAGUCUGGUAGGGGGAUCUGGAAUUCCUGGUGUAGCGGUGGAAUGCGCAGAUAUCAGGAGGAACACCGGUGGCGAAGGCGGGAUCCGGGGCCAGUACUGACGCUGAGGAGCGAAAGCGUGGGGAGCAAACAGG